rnacentral:rRNA from 1 species
GACGGAGGAGGCAAGCGUUAUCCGGAAUUAUUGGGCGUAAAGCGUCCGCAGGUGGCUUCUCAAGUCUGCUGUCAAAGCCCAGGGCUCAACCCUGGAUAGGCAGUGGAAACUGGGUCGCUAGAGUACGGUAGGGGUAGAGGGAAUUCCCGGUGUAGCGGUGAAAUGCGUAGAUAUCGGGAAGAACACCAGUGGCGAAGGCGCUCUACUGGACCGUAACUGACACUCAUGGACGAAAGCUAGGGGAGCGAAAGGG